GGGUAAUGAACCCAAAAUACCUAAGUAGCAAAUGAGUCACCGAACUUCCACAGCUGGCUGUGUUGUGGGUAAAUAGCAGAGAGGAGGUCAGAGGAAAACUUCUGUAAGGUGGGCCUCUCCUUCUCCCAUGUGAGUUCUGGGGAUUGAAGUCAGGUGGACAAGGUAAGCAGAAAACGCCUUUUUUCGCUGAGCCAUCUCAGGAGCCCUCACUGAGCUUUCUAGAAUGUAUCUUUUGCCUAAAACUUUAACUUGAAGUAUAAUAGUGCAGCUGAGAUGCCCAGUCCAGCAUUGUGAUGAACUAAGAAGCUGCUGAGACAUUUCUGGUUGCUGCCUCAUCAGGACAGGACCAGCUUUGCCUCUGAGAACCUACUCGGUGUCUGUCCUGGUGAGAA
rnacentral:lncRNA from 1 species